UUUUUCAAAACUAAUUGCACUAGUGUAGCCUUAACCACAGAUCGUUGGACAUCACCUCAAAAACUUAGUUACUUGGUCAUUACUGUCUUCUUCACUGACAAUGAUGGGAAUGAUAAAAACCGAAUCAUUAGUUUCACUUUAAUUCUAGAUGACAAAGAGGACUCAAUUGAAAGAAAAGUUGAAGAGGUAUUGAGGGAAUGGGGAAUAGGAAAUGUGUCAAGGGUUUCAUCUGAGAGCACAUUUAGCAAGGGUGGUAGUGUUCUAAACACAUGUUGGAGUUCAUUGAGCCCACGUAUGGCAGAGGCUUUGAUAUGUACUCAAAGUUGGUUGAAUCCCUCAGUUGGAGUUAGAACAAGUGGGGCAUCUCGGUCUGGUACUGCUGGGGAAGCACUUCCAGCAGCUGGACCUUCUGUUUGAUUCCCUUUUAUGGGAUGCAUUUUUUUGAUAUUUUGGAGUCACAUAUGACUCAAACAUCACAUGCCACUCUUUUGAACCUCGCAUUUUGGAAUGUAGCAUGCUUGUGAGUUUGGCUCCAUGUGAUUUUGAACGCUGAUAAAUGCUUAGCUGCCUAGUGAAAUAUGGUGAAGAUUAGUAAAUGCAACAACGUUCUUUUACAUGUGUUGAGCAUCAGCUGCUUGCAGUGCUACUGCUUCUAAAGCAUUGUAAAAUCCAUUUAUUUGUUAAUUUG